GAUGAACGCUGGCGGCGUGCCUAAUACAUGCAAGUCGAACGAACAGACGCGGUGCUUGCUACUCUGACGUUAGCGGCGGACGUGUGAGUAACAUGAGCAUCACCUAACUUUAAGACUGGGAUAACUUCGUGAAGCCAGUACUGAUAACGAAUACUAUCUUCAUGCUCAUGGUUCAAUAGUGUCAGCCGGUUUUGCUGUCACUUCUAGAUGGCUCCGCGCCGCAUUAGCUAGUUGGUACGGUAACGGCUUACGAUAGCGACGAUGCGUAGCCGACCUGAGAGCGUGAUGGGCCACACUGGAACUGAGACACGGUACAGACACCGACGGGAGGCAGCAGUAGGGAAGGUUCCGAGAUGGGCGAAAGCCUGACGGAGCAACGCCGCGUGAGUGAUGAAGGUCUUCGGACCGGAUAACUCUGUUAUGAGGGAAGAACAAAUGUGUAAGUAACUAUGCACGUCGUGACGGUACCUAAUCAGAAAGCCACGGCUAACUACGUG
rnacentral:rRNA from 1 species